rnacentral:hammerhead_ribozyme from 1 species
AUCCAACUGAUGAGUCGCGAAUAAAACGAAACACAUGUCCUGAAU